ACAUAAAUACUUAAAAUAAGUUCCAACAACAUACAUAAUGCCUUAAAAACAGAAGUUGCAACAACAUACAUAAAUUACAACAGCAAGACAAUAUAAAUCCCAUCAAAAUUAAAUCAUGAAUGUGCUCAAAAUGACUAAACCAAAUUAUAAACAUAAACAAAAUGACUAAACCAAAUUAUAAACGUAAACAAAAUGACUAAAUCACAUCCUUCUCAUCUUUACUUCUAAGUCCCACCACAUUAAUAUCAUCUUGUUCGUCACUUGAUUCAAAGUCCCACCACAUUAAUAUCAUCUUGUUCGUCACUUGAUUCAAUUUCAAACUCUUCUUCCACCUCCAACUCCUCGUCUCCAUUAGACACUAAUGUAGCAAGUCUUGAGUUAUGUCUAAUAACUCUUGUUGGUCCAUUAACACAACAGCAUUACCAACAACUUCCCAAGUCAAACCCUCUCUCCCAAAACCAAAUAGACGAGAAAUCAGC
rnacentral:lncRNA from 1 species